rnacentral:rRNA from 1 species
AGAGUUUGAUCCUGGCUCAGGAUGAACGCUGGCGGCGUGCUUAACACAUGCAAGUCGAACGAAGCACCUUUGAUUGAUUCUUCGGAAGAGAGAGAUUGUGACUGAGUGGCGGACGGGUGAGUAACGCGUGGGUAACCUGCCUCAUACAGGGGGAUAACAGUUAGAAAUGACUGCUAAUACCGCAUAAGCGCACAGUAUCGCAUGAUACAGUGUGAAAAACUCCGGUGGUAUGAGAUGGACCCGCGUCUGAUUAGGUAGUUGGUGAGGUAACGGCUCACCAAGCCGACGAUCAGUAGCCGACCUGAGAGGGUGACCGGCCACAUUGGGACUGAGACACGGCCCAAACUCCUACGGGAGGCAGCAGUGGGGAAUAUUGCACAAUGGGCGAAAGCCUGAUGCAGCGACGCCGCGUGAGCGAAGAAGUAUUUCGGUAUGUAAAGCUCUAUCAGCAGGGAAGAAAAUGACGGUACCUGACUAAGAAGCACCGGCUAAAUACGUGCCAGCAGCCGCGGUAAUACGUAUGGUGCAAGCGUUAUCCGGAUUUACUGGGUGUAAAGGGAGCGUAGACGGCUGUGCAAGUCUGAUGUGAAAACCCGGGGCUCAACCCCGGGACUGCAUUGGAAACUGUGCAGCUAGAGUGUCGGAGAGGUAAGCGGAAUUCCUAGUGUAGCGGUGAAAUGCGUAGAUAUUAGGAGGAACACCAGUGGCGAAGGCGGCUUACUGGACGAUAACUGACGUUGAGGCUCGAAAGCGUGGGGAGCAAACAGGAUUAGAUACCCUGGUAGUCCACGCCGUAAACGAUGACUACUAGGUGUCGGGUGGCAAAGCCAUUCGGUGCCGCAGCAAACGCAAUAAGUAGUCCACCUGGGGAGUACGUUCGCAAGAAUGAAACUCAAAGGAAUUGACGGGGGCCCGCACAAGCAGUGGAGUAUGUGGUUUAAUUCGAAGCAACGCGAAGAACCUUACCAGGUCUUGACAUCGUGCGCAUAGUAUAGAGAUAUAUGAAGUCCUUCGGGACGCAUAGACAGGUGGUGCAUGGUUGUCGUCAGCUCGUGUCGUGAGAUGUCGGGUUAAGUCCCUCAACGAGCGCAACCCUUACGAUUAGUUGCUACGCAAGAGCACUCUAAUAGGACUGCCGUUGACAAAACGGAGGAAGGUGGGGAUGACGUCAAAUCAUCAUGCCCCUUAUGACCUGGGCUACACACGUACUACAAUGGUGAUAAACAGAGGGAAGCAAAACGGCGACGUGGAGCAAAUCCCUAAAAGUCAUCUCAGUUCGGAUCGCAGGCUGCAACCCGCCUGCGUGAAGUUGGAAUUGCUAGUAAUCGCAGAUCAGAAUGCUGCGGUGAAUACGUUCCCGGGCCUUGCACACACCGCCCGUCA